rnacentral:lncRNA from 1 species
GUUAGCUCAGGGCGAAGACAGUGUAUGCAAGCGCGAAAGCCAGUGGCUGCUCCCGCUGCGUGCUCGGCACGUCUGAGCUUCUCAGUGCUUCUUAGUGCAGCUUGUAUAUUCCAGCUAGCAAACAGGCCUGGAUUUCCCAGCUGAGAGGAUAUUGCUGGCACAGAAUGUUCUGUCAGAAAGUCAGAUCAGAUUCUGCUGCUCGGUAACCUGCUUCAGGCACCAUCAGCCAAGUAGUGUUGGGGCACUGGAACAGAAUCCUCACUGCAGUGGUCGUGGCAUGAAGCCUGCUGGAGUUCAAGAAGCAUUUAGACAAAUGUUUCAGAAAUAUGGCUUGAAUUUUGGAUGGUCCUAAAAUCUAGCUGAACUAGAUCAUUGGAUCUUUCUGGGUCCCUUCCAACACAAGAUAUUCUAUGGUUCUAUGAUUUUUCCCAUUGUAUGAAUAAUUACACUUGAGUACAGCAGAGUUAAGUAACUCUUUGGAAAAUAAUCUGUUAUAGGUCAGUACUGAAUUCUGAGAAAACACAACCAAGCAGAGGAAAUAUCAUCAGAUUAAGUUUCUUCUUGCCAGCCUGCCCAGAUUAAACACAACAAGAACCUUCUAACCUCUUUAAAAAAUUGUUACAUCACUUCUGUUUGAGUGUUCCUUUAUGAGUGGUACUGAGAAACACUGAGAAGAAGCUAAUCUUCAGUAGGAUUGUCAUAGUCACACAUUAUACUCAAUGGAAUUGAAAUAUUUCUGCUUUGAUCUUGCUGUUUCACAUUCAAAGUGGAGAAGAAAAGUGAAAAAGGAGCUGAAACUUGAUUUUCUUUUUAAUAGUCAUCUUACAGAAUUGUUUCCAUUGAUAUUUAAUUUAAUGCAGUAUAUCUACAAGCUUCAAUAAUUUUUAUAAAUUGCAUGGAAAACAUAUGUAUUUACAGCCUUCUCUUUCAUAUUAGCCAUUGCCUGUUGUUGGCUGGGAUCAAUUUUCCUUUCCUGUGAGCAGAAAAUCUGUGAGUUAAUAAUUUUGUUGUAAAACACUUUUUCUCCUGGGAUUGAUUUAGAUCAGAUUAUAUCUUGAAUUAAUGAAUAAAAUCUGCAAUU